rfam:Thermoanaerobacter tengcongensis MB4, complete genome.
GAUUUAAAAAGCGAUGGGGCUCGCUUAAUGCAGAAGAAAUGCUGAUGGCUCCUACCUUUUU